CCAACCAGGUAAAGCAGAAUUUCUGGUUGGAGGAGAGUUUUCUCUCCUUCUGCUCCUCCCCAUUUUCCUCCCUCCAUUUCUCCCCACAGCCCCCUUUCAGCUUUCUUUCUCUGCAGCCUUUGUGUUGCCAUCCCAUCCUUUUCUGAUACCUUUCUGGGAACAGUUCCAACUUGUAAGAAUUCCCUUAUGGAUUUUCCUAAAUUAAUAGAACUACUAGGAAAAUGGUCCUGUCCUGAAAUGUCAUCUCUAUUGUCGAGACCCAGG